UAGAUAUAGGUAGUGGUGAUAAGCCUAGGCCUACUUUUAUUAGUGCUAAAUUAGAUCCUGAGAGUAAGCAACAAUUGACUAGUUUGUUAAAGGAAUAUAAAGAUUGCUUUGCUUGGGAUUAUACAGAGAUGCCUGGUUUAGACCGAUCAAUUGUUGAACAUCGGUUACCCAUCAAGUCUGGAUUUCGGCCACAUCAGCAACCAGCCCGCCGAUGUAAUCCUAACAUUCUACCUGAUAUUAAGGCCGAAAUCACUAAACUUAUUGAAGCUAAGUUUAUUCGGCAGUGUCGGUAUGCCGAAUGGAUUUCCAAUGUUGUUCCGGUUUACAAGAAGAACGGGAAGCUUCGGGUGUGCAAUGAUUUCAGGAAUCUCAAUAAAGCUACGCCGAUGGAUGGAUACCCAAUGCCUGUCGCCGAUCUACUGGUUGAUGCUGCGGCUGGUCAUCGGGUCAUCAGCUUCAUGGAUGGUAAUGCCGGUUACAAUCAAAUAUUCAUGGCGGAGGAGGAUAUUCCAAAAACCGCAUUCAGGUGUCCUGGUCAUGUUGGGCUAUUUGAAUGGAUAGUCAUGACUUUUGGGUUGAAGAAUGCUGGUGCUACUUAUCAAAGGGCUAUGAAUUUUAUAUUUCAUGAGUUCAUCGGCAAGCUCGUAGAGAUCUAUAUUGAUGAUGUUGUGGUUAAAUCUGGAGAUUUCUCAAAGCAUCUUGCCGAUUUACAAAAAGUGUUAGAGUGCACAAGGAAGCAUGGAUUGAAAAUGAAUCCCAACAAGUGUGCAUUUGGUGUAUCGGCAGGGCAGUUUCUUGGUUUCAUGGUACAUCAGAGGGGUAUUGAAAUUAGUCGAAGAUCUAUUGAAGCCAUCAAUAAAAUAGUGGCCCCUACCAACAAAACCGAGCUCCAAUCCUUGAUCGGCAAAGUAAAUUUUAUCAGGAGAUUUAUAUCGAAUUUGUCUGGUAGGAUUCGUGCUUUCAGUCCUCUUCUUAAAUUGAAAGCCGAUCAAGAGUUUAUUUGGGGAGAAGAACAGCAGUUGGCUCUGGAUGAAAUCAAGAAGUAUCUAGUAAAUCCUCCAGUUCUAGUUCCACCUCAACAAGGGAAGCCCUUCAGAUUGUAUUUAUCUACCGAUGGAUCGGUUAUCGGUUCAGCUUUAGUUCAAGAGUUUGAAGGGAAAGAAAGGGUAAUUUAUUAUUUGAGUAGGAGGUUGAUUGAUGCUGAAACCAGGUAUUCGGCCAUCGAGAAACUAUGCUUGUGCUUAUAUUUUUCAUGUAUCAAGCUGAGACAUUACCUGUUAUCGGCCGAAUGCACUGUUGUUUGCAAAGAUGACGUGGUCCGAUACAUGCUAUCUAUGCCGAUUAUGAGUGGUAGGAUCGGUAAAUGGAUUUUAGCGCUGUCGGAGUUCGAUUUGCGUUACGAAUCGGCUAAGGCAGUCAAAGGGCAGAUUAUGGCCGAUUUUGUGACUCAGCAUUGCGGUCUAGUGGAAACCUUGGAAAUUGUACCCUGGACGCUCUUCUUUGAUGGAUCUACCUGUGACCGGGGGGCAGGAAUCGGCAUUGUAUUAGUUUCCCCUAAGGGGAGGAAGUAUGAGUUUUCCUUGCCGAUUGUUGCCACAUCAACAAAUAAUCAGGCUGAGUAUCAAGCUCUGAUCAAGGGAUUAGAGUUGUUAAGAGAAGUUCGUGCUGAUGCUGUUGAAAUAUUCGGGGAUUCUAUGUUGGUUAUAAAUCAAUUGGCCGGAAGCUAUGAAUGCCGAAGUGAAGUUCUCAUAACUUAUUUCGAGAGAAGUAUGCAACUGUUAAAGGAAUUCAAGGAUUUCCGAUUGGAGCAUGUUCCCCGAUUGCAUAAUGAAGACGCUAAUCGGUUAGCUCAGCAUGCCUCAGGAUAUCAGCCAAUGAUUAAUGCGACAUCGGCAGUCGGUGCCGGUGAUUGGAGGAAAGAAAUUAUUGAUUAUCUGAAAGAUCCAUCCAAAAAAGUUGAAAGACGGGUUCGAUUUCAAGCAACCAAGUAUGUGCUCCUUGAAAAUGAAUUGUAUUAUCGAACUAUCGACGGGAUUCUUCUCCGAUGCUUGGGUGAUGAUGAAGCCAGAAGUUUGAUGGGGGAAAUCCAUGAAGGAGUGUGUGGAGCGCAUCAGUCAUCUUUUAAGAUGAAGUGGAUGAUUCGAAGGAAUGGAUAUUUUUGGCCAACCAUACUUGAAGAUUGUUUUAAAUAUUUCAAGGGAUGUCAAGGUUGUCAAAAGUUUGGUAAUAUCCAGAGAGCACCCGCAUCGGCUAUGAACCCUAUAAAAAAGCCUUGGCCGUUCCGGGGAUGGGCCAUCGAUCUGAUCGGCCAGAUUUAUCCACCAUCUAGCAAAGGGCAUAAGUUCAUUCUAGUUGCCACUGACUAUUUCACUAAGUGGGUUGAAGCUAUUCCUUUGAAGAAGGUCACAUCGGCCAAUAUGAUUGAUUUUGUGAAGGAGCAUAUUAUUUACCGAUUUGGGAUUCCCCAAACGAUUACUACCGAUCAGGGCACCAUGUUCACAUCGGGGGUGUUCGAUGAAUUCGCAAUCGGUAUGGGAAUUAAAGUGUUGAAUUCUUCUCCUUAUUAUGCUCAAGCCAAUGGGUAGGCCGAAGCGUCUAACAAAGGAAUUAUCAAGCUUAUUAAACGAAAGAUUGAAGAAAAUCCUAAGCGGUGGCAUACAUUAUUAAAUGAAGCAUUGUGGUCUUAUCGGAUGGCUUGUCAUGGAUCGACCAAGGUAUCACCCUAUCAAUUGGUGUAUGGACAUGAUGCAGUGUUGCCUUGGGAAAUUAAGGCUGGAUCUAGGCGAUUGUCUUUUCAAGAUCAAUUAACUUCUGAUGGUUAUGCCACUUUGAUGACCGAUGAAUUGGACGAUCUAGCAGGGCAUCGGUUAAAAGCUUUAAUGAGUAUAGAAGAAAAUAAGAAGAGAGUUGCUAGAUGGUAUGAUAAGAAAGUGAAGGCUAAAGAGUUUGCCGAUGGGGAUUUGGUAUGGAAAUUAAUUUUACCAAUUGGGACCAAAAGUUCGAAGUUUGGAAAGUGGUCUCCUAAUUGGGAGGGACCUUAUCGGAUAAGUCGAUCGGCUCCUGGUAAUGCCUACAUUCUAGAAACCCUCGAAGGAAUUGAAUUUCCUAGAGCAUUAAACGGCAAAUAUUUAAAGAAGUACUACCCCAGUAUAUGGGUCGAUGCAUAGAAGUUUAGGUGCCGAUAACACUCCUAUCGGCUGGAUCCAAAUGCUUGGGGACAAGACUUGGUGUCUCAAAAGUUUAGGCGCCGAUAACAGUCCUAUCGGCUAGACUAAAAGCUGAGGAAGCAGGAAAGCGCAGAUACAAUGCCGAUGGAAACUCUAUGUGUUAAGCAGCGUCUGGAUUGCCGAUAUAGCGCGUAGCCGGAUUUGGUUGGCUGCUUCUAUCUCCUUAAUGUCAUCAUCGGCAGAACCUUCUAUCGGCUUCAGCUUCUUCUUCAGUUGAAGUGCCUUGCGACCAUGAACGUUUCGCUCGUGCUCAAGAAGCCUGAUGGUCUCUGGCAAUUGGCUCUCUUCCUGUUGGGCUUGGGAUAAGGCGUUCUCCACUUUCUUGAGUUCCGCCAACAGGGAUUCUCUUCUUGCCGAUAGAUCGGAUAUCUUCUGCUUCAGCGCGUCUCCUGAAGAUCUCAGGAUACCGAUGUUCUUGUGCUUCUCAUCGGUCAGGAGCUUCUCUUUCCUCAUCUCAUCGGAGAGUUGAGUUUGAGCGGCUCUGCUCUUUGGUACUGCAGCUGGCGACUCUCCAGAUGAGCGGCUUGGAACAGGAUUUCUUCGACAUCGGCUGGGAUUUGGCCUCUGAGAGUUCUGAACAGGGUCUUGGUAGGGUCAGAAUCAUCAACCAAUUGCGCUGUGUCCUGGUGAAGGAGAGCUGAUAAUUCUUCCAGCCUGACCCUGACAUCUGCCGAUGUGAUGCCAACCGUCCGAGAAGUGCUUGCUUCUUCACCCUCUUCUUCAGAGAAAUCGAUGGCGAAGGAGAACAGGCUAUCGAGAGAAUCUUGUUCCUGGGAGGGAAAGCAAAAUUAGCUCAUACUUAGAGAAUCGGCAAAUAGUGCUAACGGUAAACGGUGACUCACUUGCUUCAAGGCGAUCUCUUGUCUUUGACUGAGAAGGGCUGACGGAGCUGCAGGCUGAUCGGCCAAAGAUGCCGAUGGAGCUACAGGUUGAUCGGCUGAGAUUGCCGAUGGAACAGUAUCAACUGAAAGAAGACAAAAGGAGUUGUGAGACUAAAUAAGAAUAAGUUCAUCGGUAGCGAUAUUGUUAAAGUAUGUUACCUGGAGGAGGGACGACGGUUGUCUGAAUCGGGAGAACUGCCGAUGGUAUAACUGGACCCACCGGGCCAGUUGUUUGUUCACCCGUGUCAGCUGAUUGAGACCCUUCCUGUUGGGGUUCUUCUAUCUGUGGUGCUUCCUGCAUAUUUGGGGGAGAUGGUGCUUGCUGUGGCUGGGCUUCUGGAGAGGAAGGAGAAGACUCCACCGGAAUUGGAGAUACCAGAGGAAGAGGGGGAGUUGCUAUCUUCUGGCGCUUUGUUCCAGUCUUAGCACCCGUGGUGCCCUUUCUCUUGGGUUGGCUAGACUGGGGGGCAUCGGUACUCUCACACCUAGCUUUCGCCGAUGCGCCGGUUUGCUGCAAUAAUGAACAAGAGUUUAUAAGCAUAAAUAUAGCCGAUAUAAAGAUAGUCAGCAUAAAAGAUAAAGAUUUGACAAAUUGCCUUGAAAGCCCGCGCCAGAGUGGGAGCAGCUACCGUUGGUGAUGUCUGGGUUCUCCUGGUCGUAACUUUCCUGAGGCGUGCACCCCGAUGCACGAUGGAAGCCAGAGUGGGAGCAUUGUGGCCGAUUGAGGAAAUCGGGCCUGAUGGAAAUAAGUCGAUCGACUUGCCACUCCUGCUAACCGAUGAGGGGAUGUUAUCAACCUGCAAAAAGAAUACAAGGAUAAGCUACUGAUGGAAAUAAUGUUGAAAAAAUGAAACAUCGGUUGGAGAUACUUACAGUGUCAUCGGGAAUUUCGUUUUCGGAGUCAAUCAUGCCGCGGUAUGAAAGGGCCGAUCUGCAGAAUAGAUGCUCUUUCCAUUCUGCCCACCAUAACUUGUAUGCCUGAGUGAUAAAAGCAGCCGGAACCCAUUCUGAUAGAUCUACAUCUGUAUCGGCGUUUGGUGGUAGUUGGGCUACUCGACUCCACUCAAGAAAGUUAUUGAUAGUUUCUCUGGGUUUUAUCACAUCGGCAUAAGGAAGUGCGAUUGGCAACUGGCCGAAAGCUAACUGGCGAGCUAAUGCCGAUGGAUUGUAAAAUUCAUAAGUCUGGGGAGAAGUUUUUGUGCUACCGAAGAAAUUCACUGGAAUGGCUCUGGGAGUCACAAUUGCCAUCAUCGCCUCAUUAUCCCUGUCGAGAGCUUCAUCAAAUGGAUUGAAGGUCAGAGGGAGCAUGCUAUCUGGGUCAUCAUAAGCCAACCAUGGUCGUUCAUCUCUGGCCAAACCCUCAUACAGAGUCUCGAAGAAUCGGCCGAUCUGAUCCGGAUUACUCCCUGAACCAGGUAGGACUAUGACGGCUUCGCCAAAGUUCAAGGGGGCACGCGUUGCCGAUUCCUCUUCACCCAACACAUGAUUUUCGGCUAUAUCUCUUGGGAAGUGCUGUGAGAACAAGUUGAAAUCAAGGCGCUUAUGCAGGUGCAGAUUGAGCCACAUAUUGAUAAACCACCAGGGGCCUCCCAAGUUGCCGAUGGAUUGGCCAAGCAGGAGUUUCUGGGCUACCUGAUGGAGAAGGUGGUAAACAGCGCCAAGCAAGUAUCGGCCGAGAGGAAAUUGGCCACCGUUAGCCAGUCUCUCUGCUGCCGAUAGAUAGACGGAAGUCGGUCCUGCCGAUCGACCACAGAAUACAAACUUGUCCAGCCACAUGUUCAGAAAGGUGGUUUGCUCCUUUAUGGUGACAGGCCCUCUCCCGCGGUACUUCUGAAUGUACCCUGACCAACCGCCGAUAGCGCGAGUCUCCACUUUGGCACUGGGGGCAGUAUCAAAAAAGUGGGUGCUAUCGGCAGAAGAUAUAUCUAGACCAGUGAGCAUGGCUACAUCGGCAAGGGUAGGAGAAGCAGGGCCGUGGCCAAAAACAAAGGCAUUGAGGGUGUCUGACCAAAAGUAGGACGCAGCUAUCAGCAGUGACUCGUUCCUGUGCAUAUCGGCAAUGGAUAGCCUAAUGCAUUGGGCUAGCUUCCUUUCGCCCCACUGGACUUCAUAAGAAUUGCUGACCCUCAAGAACCAGUCUUUCCACCCUAUGGUAGGGCUGGGCCAAGAGCGAAAAGAGUCUUUCCACAGAUCUAAAGAAAAGUUUUCAGCUCUGAAGGGGAUCCUAUUGGUUUCUGCGUUGAUAAGGUUGGUUGGAUCUGAAUCCCCUAGAGGGCCGAGACAUUGAAGGUGUGGUUGAUCGGUGGGGAUGACAAUUUUAUUGGACAACUCCUAGUGAUUUUGGGGGAAUAAAAAUACAAAGAAAAAGGAAAAGGAGAAUAUUCAGUAAGAUGAAUCGCGGAUGAAUAGGAAUAAAAAAUACAGAAGAUGAGAUGGAGAUCUGACCUCAGGGACGACGAAGCCAAUGGCCAUCUUGUCGUGAAGAGGACGUUGGAGGGCACCAGAGUUGAUGAAGAGGAGUGUUUGUCGGAGGUCUUGAAGGUUGUAAAUGGCGCCGCCACUGGAAAAGUAAAGUUGGGUAAUAGAAUGGUGUGAUGGGGAAGGAGUACCCAAGAAGGAACUAUUUAUAGGACAAGAUGGGCAAGGGCAAAUCCGACUUAUCUCUUUGCCGCAUCCGAGAAACCCGAGGGUACUCAGGUGGAUAUGGUAACUGUUCGCACGGUAAUCCAGGGAUUGUGCAGGUGAUUUGACGAGAAGCGGUCAUUAUCUGAAGAUAUUUUACUGUGCGAGAUCUCCUGGUCGGUCCAUCGGCGAUAUUCUAUAACGGUCAUCUUGCCGAUGGGUGGAUAGAGGGGAGGUAACCGUUUUUGCGAAUAUCCUGGUCAGAGCAUCGGCAGAUCUUUGUAACGGUAUUGUUGCCGAUGUACGACCAAGAAAAAUGCCCGUUUAGGAAGUUGGGGAUUUCGAGGAAUCUGCGGAGGAUUAGGAUCAGAGUUGUCCAGAUUGAGGUUGUCGGUUACCAGAUUAGGAGCAUUAAUUGCGGGAGAAGACAUCAUUGCUGCAGAGAAUUUCGGAGCAUUAAUAGUUUUAUACUCCGAAACUGGGGGGCAUGUGUUGACACCGUUUUUGGACACGUGUCUAGGAUGGCAGGAUAAGGUGGCAGUACGAUGCGGGUUGCCGAUGAGGAUGGUUGCCGAUGAGGGAGAAGUUGAAUGUGACAGGCAGUAAUAUGGUGCCGAUGGCUAGAUAAGAAAGUCUGCCGAUGACUAUGGCAAAGGAUCUGCCGAUGAUGCAAAGGAGGAGUCUGGAAGCUGCCGGUCGUUAUGUGGAGGAGUUUUGGUUUGUCACGAGGGAUAGUUUUGUUAUUUCCUUAAUUAUUUGCAUCGUUUUGUAUACGGAUUCCGUAUAAUUUGGAAUUCGAAUUCUAAUCGUGUCUGGUUGUAGCUCUUUGAGCAGGGUAUAAAUAUAGACCCUAGGGCCUUGUAAUCGAAUAAAGAAAUCAAUCAAACAUACGUUUUUACUCAUAUUCCAGCAUCUACUUUUCGACGACUUCGUCAUACUUUUUCUUUUUAUUACGAGUUCUUAGGAAUUCGUCGACUUAAGCUCGGCGUGUUCUCGAGUUCCGCGUGAGUACCUCUUAGCCGUGACAUCCGGGCGCAUCGCUGUUGUCAGGACUAAAGUAUUCGAGUUAUCACCUUUGCCGAUAGUAAGGUCAAAUCGGCUGGCACGCCUUAACGUUUGAAUCGGGUAUUAGCCCUUUGUGUUUGCAGAUCAGUUUUGCAUCAACAGAGAGUAUCAAGAUGGCUCCGUUUGAAGCUUUGUAUGGUCGGAAGUGCAGGACUCCAUUAAACUGGGUCAAACCUGGUGAGAGGAGAUACUACAGUAUCGACUUCAUGGACGAUGCUGAGAAGAAUGUACAGAUCAUACAACAACACAUGAAGGCUGCGUAAUCACGCCAAAAGAGCUAUGCCAACAAGAGAAGAAGGCCGCUUGAGUUUAAUGUGGGUGACUAUGUUUACCUCAAGGUUACACUGAUGAAGAAAGUUCAACGCUUCCAAGUUCGAAGUAAGCUUGCACCUAGGUACGUGGGGCCAUAUCACAUAAUCGAACGGAAGGGCCCUGUGGCCUACAAGAUCUAGUUACUUGAAGAGUUGAGCUCUAUCUUUCCAAUUUUUCAUGUGUCCCAGCUAAGAAAGUGCCUGAAUGUACGCGAACAAAGGAUUGAACCUAGGGGAAUCAAGAUAAAUUUGGAAUAUAAAGAACAACCAGUGGGUAUAGUAGAUACUGUUGACGGUCCUUAAGUAUCAAAUUUAAUUAUCAAAUAAAUAAAGAAAAGGAUCCAAAUGAAAUCAAGAUCUAGACUUAGGGUUUUAUCUGACAGAAUUCCACGAGUUUUGGUGUUUGUCUAUUUCUGCAGGGGGUUAUCAGGAAAUAUGGAAGAAAGACCCACAUGUCAGGAUUACGUAAAGAUAUUAACGUGCUGCGCAAUUAUCUUACAUCUAGAAGACUCCAGAAGCCACAAGACCGAAGCGGAGGCGAAACGGGGCCAGAGACAGGGCGCCCGCCCAGUCCUACUGGGCGCCCGCCCUGCCCCCAAGUCCAAUCAGGACUCUGCUUUGCGGGAAGUCUCCACCGACCUAAAGGAUGAAUCUAAACCAUACAAUCUAUGUCGGUUUGAUCCAAGGGCCCAUAUUCACUUGAAGGGACUAUAAAACCAGACCCCCUGGCCCCUGGAGGAGAGAGCCUCUCAACCCUAAUUCAUUGUUCCAUCAAGGGAGAAGAAGCCUCUGAUCAAGAUUAGAGCCACCACAUCAAUUAGAUAUCUAGAUUAGCAUAGCUACAUAGGAUUAAAACUAGAAGGAGUCAAUCUUCGAUUGGUUUCCGGAUCUGUCAGGAGGAUUCUUGGUAAUCUUCUAAUUGUGCUUCUAAUUGCUUUCUAAUUAUCUUUGUUCUUCAAUAUUAUGAAUAUGACUUUGUUCUACUUCAAUAUAUUGCUUAUGACUUUGCUCUACUUGCUUAUAUUCAAGAUUAUAUUGUUCUUAGUUUAUCAUAGUUAUGUACUUGGCUUAGUUAGAUACGAUCUAUAUACAUGCUUAGGAUCGUAUAGCGUUUAUCCAUCGGAUCCAUGGGUAAAUGAUAGAUAUUGUGUAGGCGUGGUGCUUAUACCGUAUUUAUCUGCGAUUGUACCCAAUAUGCCAGAUCGUGGGGUGGUUCGUGAUAGUGACAGCUUCAUUGAUUCUUAUAUAGUCCUCCUCUCGUGUAUUGGGCUGGCAGAGCAACAUUAUUACAGGGUAGUGAUUGCUAUGUUUCUCAUAUUCCUUGCUAAUAUCACUAUGCAUGGGCGUAGUCUUGUCUCACAAUGAUUGCUAAGUAUGCUUGCUCUAACUAUGAUAAUGCUAGACUAUAUAGUUGAGAAUAACUUAGGGAAUAUUCUUGUAGUUCGUUCUAAUACCAUGCUAAUGACUUUCUAGAGUAUCUAAUUGAGGUGCUUAUCAUAUUUAUUAUGUGGCUAAAUCAGAUUAGUUAUCCUUGUCACUAUUAUUAUUUCAUAUAUCUUUUAUGUGACAUUUAUCCCUGUAUGAUGAGUUAGAUAUAAUGUUCUCAAUUAUACAUGCAAUGAUAGAUGCUCAAUCUCAUAUUCUAUUCUGUAAUCAAUAGUGAUGAUUGCUAAUCCCUUCCCAGUGGUAAAAAUAUAAAUAACGAUACCUGGAAUACUUCCCGGUUAAAAUGCUACAUCGGUAUUAAUCUGUGCGCUUGCAGAUCCCAUUCAUUAUUUAUUUAGAAGAGCAAUUGCAUAUUUCAAUACCGCGUCUCUCAUAUCAUGCUGGGGAUGACAACUUGGCUUAAGUGGUGUGAGGGAUAGGUUUGGCAUUUUUGGCACCGUUGCUAGAUUUAGAACUUAGUCUACUUUUAGUAAUGAUGUUAAGAAUACCCAACAGAUACCAAGGAGCGAGUAACCAGAAAUAGAGUUGUCAAAACCUACAAGGUGGUGUGGAGUCAUCACGAUGAUAGAGACGACACUGGGAAACCGAGGGUUACCUAAAAACAGUUUACCCAAAAUUUCAUAAGAAAUGGUUAGUAACUCAAAAACUCGGGAUGAGAUUUCCCUAAGGGGAAAAGCCCUAUAACACCCAAGGUGUUAAGAAUGCACUUAGUCUCAUAAACUACUCAUAAGCACUCUCAUCAAGCAUGGGCAUGAGCAUUGCAUCACAUGAGCAUAGUAGUAUUCAAAUUGUGAUUUUAUGUGAUUGAGUUAAAUAAAUUUAAAUAUUAUAAAUUAAUAUGUUUGCUUCAAAAUUGCUUGUGAUGACCAAAGUUGGUUGAACUAUGUUUUAGAAGAUUUAAGAAUAAUUGUGUGAAAUUUUUGGAGCUCUAGAAUUUGAGAAAUGAAUUUUAUACAAAAUUCUCUAAAUAAGUUUAUUUAAAAACCUAGAACUAGUUUUGAUUUGUGAUUCAAAUUCUGUUUAGAAUUUGGACUUGCAAUUUGAAGCAAAGUGGUAGAGUAUUUUGUGGGGAACAUUUUUUCUUUUUACCCCAAAUCCUAAAAAACUUUGAAAAACCUUCAAAAUUUACAUUUAAGCUCUUUUGGGAAAAAGAAAUUCAAAAAAAGGGAAAGGGGGCAGGCGCUGCUGGGCCGACCCGCCUCCCUUUUGGCCCGCUCGCACGCGCGGCCCAGCUUCUCCCCUCCUCCCUGCGCACGGGCGCGUCCCGCCCUUCUCCACCAGACACCGGCCACGUAGCUGUUGUACGUCGGCGACGUGGCCGCCUGGCUCCGACCGGCAUGACCCGGUCGGGACGACACCCCUCUACCCCAAGCGCCCCCAUUCUCUGUGUCUCCCCCUCCUUCGCCCACAGCCGCUCCCGCUCCAAGCUCCGUCGUGGCGCCAUUGCUGGCCAAGCUCCGCCGCUCGACGCCGGCCGUUUCAACGGGCCAUCUUCCGCGCCAAGCCCACCGCCGUGUUCGCCAUCGCCGUGGUAAGCCCCUGCGCACGCUCAACCGAGGUGGUAAGCCUCUGUGCGACCGCAAUGGCUCACCGGAGUUCACCCGACCUCGUUGGAGUGCUCCGCCGCGCUGGAACCCUCCCUUCUUUACCCCUUUUCGCUUGUUCUUGUGCGCGUUGUGUUCGGGAUGACCUGAGCGAGCUCCAACGGUGCUGCGCGAGCGCUCUACCCCGCCAGAGUGGCCUGGCCACGGCGAGCAGCGCCGCCAUGCCACCAUGCACGCUAGAAAGGGUGCUCUGGUCGUUCCCCGGCCAAGCCAAGGGCACCAUCGGGUGCGCCUCGCUGCGGGGAACACGUUGGUGCUCACCCUGCGGCCGAAGGCCUCACCGCCGACGAGAUCCGCUCGUUGGAGAUGCCCCCUCUUCUCUGUCACGCUGACCAGUGAUGUCGGGGGCCCACUAUCUGCCGCAAGGACGCUGGGUUGGGUAGAGAUCUAGGUGUCUCUAGCGUUUUCCAGCGCAGAUUUGAAAAAGAGAUUUCGAAAAUGAUUUUUCAGAAAUGUGAUAAUUAGUAUUUAAUUCAUAUCUUGAGAUCUAUGGCUCCAAAACUGAUGAAAUAAAAUUUGGCGUGUUCCAUAAUUGAAGAUCUAUAACCUAGUGCUUUUGCAUGUCACGUUUGUACAACUUUUCUGUGUAAAUCUAUUUAUUCCAUGCUUUUGCUGUUAUUUAGAAAAUGCACAGUAAAUAAAUUAUAGCUCAGAAAAAUGUAAUUCUUGUUUUGCUAAAUUUGCAUGGAUGUGUAGUCUCUGAGAAAAUAUGUAAGACAAUAGUUGUUGCAUAAAUUAAGUUAUGAUGAUUUAAAUGCUUGCAUGGCAGUGGUUUAUGAUUUUAAUAAAUAAUUGGAUCAUGCAAUUAGUCUGGUAAUUUAUAAAAAUAUGAAAUCUGUUGUUUGACACUUUAUCACCAGUAGGGUACUUUCUCUUAAUUAUGUUAAUAAACUUGUGAUUUCUUUGUGGGCCAUGUUACUUUCCCAAAUGUUAUGAAAAUUUGGUGAUGAACUUUAUAAAUAACCAGUGACCAACUGUAAUUUUUGUAGAAUUUAUUGAAGCACUGAAGUAUAUGCUACAGUUGUAGGCUUAAUAAUAAUUAAGUAAAUAAAUCCUUGCUAUGCAUAAGUUGCAUAGAAUAAAUUGUGUUUGGUGUAUAUUUGAAGCAUCAUGGUAGCUUGCUGGUUAGUAAUAAUUUGUCGAAGAAAAUGCAAUAGAUGCUUUACUUUGGUUACAUGUUCAUGGAUGAUGUUGACUACCUUGUAGAAAUAAUUCCAUGUUUUAUCCAUUGGAACUCAUCUCCACUGGAGAUGGGGUUUGUGCCUACUCAUCUAUGCACCAUGUCAUGAUCAUCUUGUCUUAACUUGCAUAAGCAUUGCACUUCGGGCAUCUUGCACUCCACUCAUGAGCACACAUGCAUCAUAUAGGCUCGCAGGAGAACGAGGUGAGACCCGAGGAGCAGGAACUUCCGGGGGGACCAGAGCCGGAAGGAGAUCUGCAGGAGUGCCCAGACCACAGGCCUAGCACCUUCGAGAGAGGCAAGCCCCGGAGCAUUCUAAGUCUCCCUAUUCUCGCUAACUUAAUUUGUUAUAUCAUGAUUGUUUCAUAAUGCUGCAUUUAAGUGAUAGGAGUUGCUUGAUACCGUUGAUGCAUAUUUACUCCUUGAUAUCACCACCUGUUAUUUACCUUGUCCUAAGUAGAUAGGCUCGGAGUCUAUGCUUAGCUUGCUUACCACGGUAGAAGUCGAGUGAUUUCCUGUCACCUGCAUGAUAUAGGUGGAUAGCUAAAUGUUAGUUGUCAAUGCUUUGGUGAAAAGUAACCAAGUGGGGGAAAGAAACUGAGACCGGGCUGGGUCUUAUGGUGGUGUUGACCAUAGUGCCCCUACCUGUGUCGAUUAAGGACCGAUCGUUGACGGCCCUCUUGUCAUGUUGAACGCAUGCCCCACAUUUAGCUAGAAGGAUAAGUCGUUCCGACCGUGAAGCCUCAACACUAUCCGGGCCAAAAAUCUGCCUGAUGUACGCGUUGUAUUGGUGCUGGUUGAGGAGAACAACGAGGGCGCGGCGUGCAACCUUGGUAUACCUUGGAUACCUCGGUCGCCGGAACGGUCCUUGGGUACGGGCGGUGCCUGUCGAACCCACGAUUUGGCCCUGGAUAGUGUAACAUGGUGACCUAUAGCUCACUUGAUUAGUGUUGAUGCAAAACUGAUCUGCAAACACAAAGGGCUAAUACCCGAUUUAAACGUUAAGGCGUGCCAGCCGAUUUGACCUUACUAUCGGCAAAGGUGGUAACUCGAAUACUUUGGUCCCGACAACAGCGAUGCGCCCGGAUGUCACGGCCAAGAGGUAUUCAUGCGGAACUUGAGAACACGUCGAGCUUAAGUCGAAGAAUUCCUAAGAACUCGUAACGAAAAGGGAAAAGUAUGACGAAGUCGUCGAAAAAGUAAAUGCUUGGAAUAUGAGUAAAAACGUGUGUUUGAUUGAUUGAUGGAUGUCGAUUACAAGGCCCUAGGGUCUACAUUUAUACCCGACUCAAAAGAGCCACAACCAGACACGACUAGAACUCGAAUUCCAAAUUAAACAGAAUAUGUAUUCCAAAUUAAAUAGAAUCUUCCCGUGACCGCCUGGGACACCACCAUAGACCAAUCGGCAGUCUUCAAGUCUUCCUCCCGCGCCAUCGGUAGAUUCUUUACCGCAAUCACCUACAGAGGUUAAUGCUGGCCAUCGGCACAGACACAUCACCAUCCAUGGACUUAGCCACAUCCAGCCAUCUCCUCAUCGGCAACCACCUUCAUCGGCAACUCUCCUGUAGACCAGCUACCUUUGCCCUGUCCUGCCGAUCUAUACUCUGCCGAUCCUGGACACGUGCCCAAAAAACAGUGUCAACAACUAUACAAGGGGCCCAGGCACCCAGAGCAGGCUCGCAGGCCUUAGUCCGCAUCAUGGUCCUCACCACCCUCGCCUGCGCCUGAGCUAGUCUCAGGGGGAAGUACCUCGGGCUCAAAUAGCUUGGCCAACCUCUCCCCAGGGACCUCUGUGUCGUCGAUUAAGGCGUGGAGCCUCUCCCCGUUCUCCGCGUCAGUCUUGGAGAUGUCGGUGACAAAACCAUGAGACACCACCUCCAUAUCAUAGGAAAAGCCCGAGCAGACAACUGCCAUUGCCCGCUUUACCCCGAUAUGGAGAGCGUCCCACACUCGAUCCCUCAGCGUCGCGCCUAAAUAGCACAGCUAAUCGACCAGCGCAUCGCCUCGAGCUUCCUCCUUCGACUCGUCCAUGGGCUCGACCUCCCAAGAGGUCAAGAGAUCGCUUAUCGCUGUCCGUAGUCGACGGUUCAAAGCAACCUCCCCCUCGAGCUGGGCCUUGCGAUACGAGCCUCGACUUGGGCGGCCAAGAGCUCAUCUUUAAGCCCUGUAAAAGCCAACGCAAAAAACUUUAGAUAAAACCAAGCACACCUUGAAAAGAAAACUCGACAAUAGAAACGUACCACGGAUGCUCUCCUCCAGAGCCGUGUUCUCGCCAAGCAAUUUAGUGUUGGCCCUCUCGAUCUCUUUGCUAGAGCGCACCAUCUCAGUGUUGGCAACACGCAGAUCCUCGAUCACCUUGCCAGCCUGAGCGAUGGCUCCAUUUUUCUCCAGCAGCGCUCCCUUUAGACGAUCGACGUCAUCGGAGAGACUGCGAGAACGAGUCCGUUCAGCCUCGAGAUCUUCGAGGGCCUUCUUCUUUGCCUCCUCUGCAGCGCCUUUGGCGAUCUCGCCGUUCACGCACUCCACCUUCAUCCUUUGAAAGGUUUCUCGGGCGGAGGCGAGUUCGGUUUGGAGGAGGCCCUUCUCCUUGUCUAGGUCAGCAACGGCGUUCUUGUAGGACAGGGCCUCCUCCCAGGCUUUGGACACGGCUUCCUCGACCGUCAUGGCCCGCUCCCUCAGAAGCGUAGCCUCUUCCACAGCCUUCCAUGAGGCGUCUCGAGCCUCGACCAGGGCAGCCUCGCUCUCCUUCUUCUCCUCCUCGAGCGCCAAGAGCUCUUUAUAAGCCUUGAGGAGUUUCUCCUGCGACUCCAGGAGUUGGUCCUUAAGGAUGGGGAGCUGCUCCCAGCCGCCUCUCGUGGCAUGGAUGAAGCUCGACUUAAUGCGGGAGGUCUCUUUCAGGUCGUGCGAACAGGCGAUCGAGCAGUUAAAACACAAAACCAAAUGUUAUAUAAGGAGUAAGGACUGGGAAAUACUUAUAAAUUAGGCCGGCCCGAGUCCGUUGUUAACAACGUCCGACAGGAGCCCCACCGUGUGCUUCAUCCAAAGGCGGAGCUCCUCGACAUGCUCCCACUUCUCGGCUUCCUUUCGAUCGUCUAGAAAAAUGAUGGGCUCCGACGGAUCGGUGGAAGCCCGGAUGCGGAUCCGAUCGGGGCACCAAUUCUCCAUCUCUUGGUCGGCCCGCGCCUUGACGCCGUGGAUGAGCUCCUCGACGGUCUCGAGUGAUCCCCCGUGACGCAGGAACAAGUCGACGAGGGAGGGGAACCGCCCGUCGUCAUCCACCGUUUUCUAGGUGCCGGUUUCGCUGCCUCCGCCAAUGCCCGACGUCCCAGCCUCGUCCUCCUUGGCGGGAAUACGGUCCUCCCACGACCGACUCUCCCAGAGGAAUCCCGGGGUGAUCCCGUCCAUGUCUAGAUCGUCCUCCUGAUCUCGGACUCAGGGUCGACGGGGGUGCGCAUCAUGCAGGCGAGCGCCACCACGCCGUCCGCCCGCCCCGACUCUACUGGGAUUGCGGCGGGCGCCCCUGGGCGGAGCCACGCCGGGGUCGGAGGGCCAAAAACUGGCAGACCUUCCUCCUGGUUCCCGGGCUCUUGUGGCACCGAUAGUACCGGUUGGGGUGGACUGCGAGGAGGAGGCUUGAGCGGUUCCUCCGACGGCUGGCCCCCCUGCUGCUGCUGCUCCUGGAGCUCCUGCGGCUCCUGCUGACGGUCCUGCUCUAGCGACCCCUUGAGCUGGGAACCGCUAUUGCCUGCCCCUCCUCUCCUUCCUUCAGCGGCGGUCGUUGCUCCUCCCGUGGUCGCCGCCGCGUCUCCUGCUCACGCUCCUCCUCCUCUUUCUUCCUCUGUUGCUCGAUGGAGUGGAGCCCGAUAGGCCAAGGUGUCCGCCUCGCGGUGGCGGAAGCCUCGACCUCCUCGUCCAUAGGACAGGUGCCCAUCGAAGGCCCGUCGCCGCCAGAUCCAUCACUAAUAGUGAUAGGUUCCGCCUCGACCCCCGAUCGAGGAGGCUCGGGGACUCCCUCCUGCUCUUCGAGACGGGGCGCUUCAGCCCGCCUUGGCAACGGCGGGGUGGACUCCACCACAGAUGGACGAGGCAGAGCGCCCUCGAUGCCAGUCGACGGCCGAAGACCGGAGAGGCCUGCAAGUGCUCAAUGACAAAAAUCAGUCGCCAUAACAACCGACACGAAGCAAACAUGUAGUUAGAAAUAAACCGCUAACCUGAAUCAUUGGGGGCCGCUGCCACCUUGAGCCUUUUAGCCAUCGAAGGCUGAGCUUGCUCAAGUGUCCGCUUUAACCUGUAAAAAAGGAAUAGGCGUAAGCAAAGCCGGGGACAUACAGAGACAUCAAAGGACAGGAAUUACGACGACGAAUUCUUACCCCACAGGGAGCACGGCCCGCCUGCCGGUACCUCGAGCGGCGGGCCUCGAGCCGCCCCGCGUCAAGACUCCAGGCCCCUCACGGGCAGGCGUAGGCCUUGGUCCAGCGUCCCCCGCCUGGCGGGCAACGGGGCUAGCGCUCCUGUGGCCAGUCUCUUCGUUUUCGGAGGCCGCGGCGUGGCCACGGGUCAAUGGCCCCGUUGCCUGGGGCUUAGCCUGGCCACCCGCCUUUGGUGAAGGGGGAGGUUGGGGGCGCGGGGCGACCCGGCUCGUCGCGGGCGUGGGAGGGGUGUCAGCGCGGGGACGGUGAGAUCCGCCUGGCCCUUCUUUUGGCGCUCCCGUCUGUGGGGCGUCGACGUCGCCUCUAGGUGGACCCUCGAGGAUCCGGUCGAGGCGAGACGCCAUCCCCUCAGAGUCGUCGCUGUCGUCAUCGCCGUCUCCGCCAUCAUCCUCACUGGGGGAUUCUUCUUCUUCUUCUCUUUCUGCUCUGAGUCCUUGGCGGACUUCUAUUUCUCAGCAGACUGGCGCUGUUUGUCACGGUCGACCCCGUCCUCCUUUACUGGAGGCCUCGAGGACCGAACGUCGAUCGGUCCCUGCGAGAACAGAGACAAGCUUAAACAAAAAGGAAAUCCGGAAUCAAAGCUAUAUACAAGAAAGGAACGUACGAGGUCGAUCGAGCCCGCAUCUGGCCUCAUGGGGAAGCCGUUGACGUGCUCCGGCUUGAAGUCGCCGGCGAUGGCCGCCCUGACCCGGGCCGCGACUUCAUCGUCCGCCGGAGCCUUGUUGGACAUCCGGCACGCCUCGAGGUCCCGGGACGAAACGCCGGGCCCCAUCUCAUCCAUCCUCAGCGGCUGAGACAUCAGCGGGAGGACUCUCCGAUGAUGGACGGCCGAGAGAACGAGAGCGGCGGACAGGCCCUCCAAGCGUAGCUUCUUCAGGGCGUCGAGGAGGGGGUCGAGCCACGACUGGUGGGCCUGGACGACGCUGUAUGUCCAAUUCUCCGAAUGCUCCGUCAUCAGGCGGCCGGUGUAGGCAGGGAGAAGACCGUCGUUGUUCCUCAGGUAGAACCACUAGGAGUCCCAUCCAGUGUGGUUCGAUGACAACCCCACUGGGAUGUACUCGCGUGGCCUCUCCGUCUUCUUCGUCUUCAGCACCAAGUUGAGGCACCCGGCCUGCACAGGUUUCCUCACGCCCGUAUUUCCAGUGGGGGCAUUGAAGAGCUCACCCCUGUAGAGGUAGAGCCACAGCUCCCAGUGGGGCAUCAUCCCCAAAUAGCCCUCACACACCGCGGCAAAGACCGCCGCGAUGGUGAUGGCAUUCGGGGAGAAGUGCUGGAGCUCCACCCCAUAAUGGUGGCAGAGCGCCCGCAUAAAGUGGCUUGGAGGAGCGCCCAGGCCAUGGCAGUGGAACUUGGAGAACGAAACCACGUAGCCCUUGGGCGGCUUGGGCUCCCUAUGGUCCGCUGGCGGUGCGAUCCACUCCGAUAACGACAGCGAUGUGCGGUGGCGCAGGAGUCCCUCCCUCUCGAGCUCCAGCAACCGGCGCUCCGUCAUCGACGACGGGCGCCAGUCGUCGGCGGCGACAAGUCUCACAGGCAUCUUGGGUGGAAGGAACGCGGAUUCACUACUACUUGAGGGGGUGCGCGCGCGCGUGAGAUGGCAAGGGAGCUAAGGCAAGAAUGGAGGCAGAAGGCGGAAGGGAGAACGGCGGCAAGGCUACGGGAUAUUUAUAGGCAGCGACCCACCAACGGAUAGAUCCGAUAAAUGAGGUAACUCCCCCCCAUAAAUGCGCUGCCUAACGGUCUUUUUCCUCCUCACAGACGGGGCGCUCCGAAUUCUGCGCCGAUACCGUGUCGCAACGGCUCCCGCCUGAAAGGACGCGCCCAACGGGCAAAAAGGCGAACCGCCACGGCCUCUUCCUUCCCUUGUAAGCCAAGGUACGCAUCCACGAAAGCCUCGAGAGGUCGCAGACUGACCCGCCGAAAAGGGUUCGACAGCCGAUCUCGAGCACCAGAGUCAGGGAUACCCAGCGAGUCGUCGAAAAUCGAGGCCCGCCUCGAGAACUCGCUAGGGAUGUCCGAGGUAGGGUCGAGAGAGUCGAAAGGAAUCCCCUGACGGGAGGCAUCGAGCCACUGGACUCUAUCGAAUGAGACCGGCAUCCCUGACCACGUCGACCCUGCUUUAUGAGAACGCCUCCGGGCUACAGCUGACCCCCUGAAAGGGGCACAGGUUCUCACUUGGACUACCCGUUAGAAGCUCAAUCUGGGGUGGAUGACGCUCGCUCUAUCGAGAGUACGUCGAAACCCCCGUGCAAAACGAGCCGAUCAGAACCUUCCACCACUGGUGUCGACAGCAUUUCUGCGAAUUAGGCAAUAUAACCCUCGAAGGAGUCAAAAACUACUCCAAGGGCUCGGGGGCUACCCCCGCGGUGUCGCUCGCGCGCCCCCACCGACACUCAACCGCAAAAUAAAGCCUCCACUCGAGCGCCAGCGCUCGAAUGGAGUCUCGGGGGCUACUAUCGAGGGUAUCAGUAAGGGGUAUCCUAACUGCUGUACAUAACGAGAUCGCCCGUACGCAAGUCGAGGUCCCCAAAUCGACGCUCUACCCAAUCACGCGUAUAAUCAUCGACGACCGCAGCCUCGAAGACGGAAAGGGCGUCGAGCGAAUCGAUCAGGGCUCGAGCGCCAACUACCAUCGAAUACAGAAAUGGGCUCGAGCGAAUCGGGAGGCGUCAAGUGCAAGGACGCCGCCCGCCGCCUAACGCGCACACGAGAACCAGGGCAUUUAAUGCGCCUGUCGCAUUCUCACCUAACACGCCCGUCACGGGAAGCGUGAUAGGGAACAAGCACCCGUCCCGUCAUUCUUUUUGCAGCCUUCCCCACCAAACGAUCCAGAGCCUGUCAGGACGCAGGAAGUAGGGUCGGAAUGUCUAAUCAAGACCCCCUCGACACAUCCAAAGUCAACGCUCUGGAUAGCGAGGCGCUACAUGGUGUCCGACCCUCGACCAGACGUGUUUCCUUCCUAGGGAGGGGUUGGGUGUCGAAUGACAACACAGCAACCACUCCAACGUGCCUGCCGCUAUAUCGUACAAGCGUGCGACCGAUGAACCAGUCCAAGACGGCGCACAGAGCAGGAUACCGGGGCACGCGUAAUCAUCAUCAAGCUAUCAAGACGGGACGGCUCGAGACCACGCCGGUACGGAGGCCUCGAGUAGGUCCGCGCGCCAUACCUCUAUCGACCCCUACUCUGACACCUAUACUUGUACCCCGGGUUUUCUCCUUGGAACUAUAAAAGGGGAGGCCCGGGAGCGAGCACAGGGAGAGGCAUCACACAAGAAACGCUCAUACGCAGUAGAACUUCGAUACUCCAUCUCAUUCCAUACCACGCUUGUAUUCACCCCAGUACAAGCACUUAGGUGCAAGAUAAUACAAACUCUCUCCCCCCCGCUAGACGUAUGGCUUUCUCUUGCCCGAACCAGGAUAAAUCUUUGUGUCUUUUUGCAUCACCAUCUGAAAAAGGGAGCACGCAUACAAAUUCACUCGUUGGUGUGACCACCCAUGGGGAAAACACCGACACUCAACUUCCGCCAAAUGCCGAUACAGAUGUCGAUCUAUCGGAUUGGAUUCCUGCUCUCUUCAUUACUCAGGCAUACAAACAGCAGUGGGAAGAGUGGAAAGAGUAUCUGUUCUGCAGAUCGGCCCUCACAUAUCGUGGCAUGAUCAACCCCAAAUACAAGGUCCCCGAUAAUACUGUAAGUAUUUUAACCGAUGUUUCAAUCCUUUUACUUUCACUUUCUAUCGGCAACUCACUCUCUUUGUUUCAUUUAGGUCGAUGAUACGCCACCAUCAGUUAGCAGGAGUGGCAAGCCGAUCGAACUCCUUCCAUCGGGCCCGAUUUCUUUGAUCGGCAACAACGCUCCAACCUUGGCUGCUUUAAUGCACCGGGGUGUGCAUCUCAAAAAGGUCACCACCAAACGAACGAAACCUUCCCCGUCGGUAGCUGCCACUACUUUGGCACAAGCCUUUAAGGUGAACUCUCGAAUUCUUUAACUCAAUUUUCAUCGGUAACUUCGAUUAUUUUAAUCAGAACUCCAUUGAUACCCUGUUACACUUGUACUCAUAAACUUUUCAUUAUUGUAUUAGCAUACCGGAACAUCGGCAAAGACCAGAAGUACGACUGCCGAUGCCCCCCAGUCCAGUCAACCGAAGAGAAAAGGUUCCAAGAGUACCAGAUGACAAGCGAAGCGCCAGAGAACAGCAAUGCCUCCUCCUCCUCCAAGAUCUCCGAUCCCAGUAGAAUCAUCCCCUUCUUCUCCAGAAGCCCAGACACAGCAAGUACCAUCUCCCCCUCAACCACAAGAAGAACCCCAGCCAGAAGAACCUCAUCUAGAAGAAACAUCGGCUGAUGUACACGAGCAAACCACCGAUCCAGCAAGCCUAAUCAUAGCAUCGGUAGUUUCCUCGAUUCAGACAAGCACUGCACCCCCUCAAGGUAAAAUACCAUCCGUGAAAUUACUGCCAAUGGACCCAUCUUUCCACUUUAUUAAUCAUUUUUGUCAACCUUUCAGCUGACAUAGUCUCAUUGGCAAUUCCAGCCGAUCAACCUGUGCUUCCAUCGGCUUCAGCUAGUCAGAGGCGAGAGAUAGCUCUAAAACAAGUAAGUUACCAGAUCUCUAUUUUUAUCAUCACCAGUACUUGAUCAAAAAUAACUUAUUUUAUCUUCCUUCUCAGGAAUAGGAUUCUCCAAAUAGGUUGUUCUUCUUUGCCGUCAAAAUCUCUGAGGAUGAAGGCGAGGAGGCAAGUUCUUCCCGAGCGGUUGGAAUCUCAUCGGCAGAGAUUAGAGCAAAGUUAGAAGAUUUGUCGGCCCUCCUUCAUCAAGAUACGGCCCAAUUGGUCGAUGACUUCGAUCCGGCCAAGGCCCUAUUCAAGACUCUUAGAGGCCAAAUUCCUGCCGAUGCCGAGGAGAUCCUCUUCAAAGCUGCUCAUUUGGAGAGUCAGCAGCUUCAAUAUCAAAAGGCUAUUCAGCGUCUUGCCGAUAGAGCUACUCAUGCCCAGCUUUCAGAAGAGAUGAUGAAAGUAAAGCUUCUUGCUGAUGAAAAGCAUAAGAGCAUCGGCAUUCUAAAAUCCUCAGGAGACGUGUUGAAGCAAAAGAUCUCUGAUCUAUCGGUAAAGAGAGAAGCCUUGUUGGCAGAACUCAAACAAGUGGAAGAAGCUCUGUCCCAAGCUCAAUUGGAAGAAAGCCAGCUGCCUGAAGCAAUCAAGACCCUUGAACAGGAGCGAAACAUCCAAGCUCGCAAGGCGUUGCAGAUGAAGAAGAAACUACAACCAGUGGAGGGUUCUGCCGAUGAAGACAUGAAUGAGAUAGAAGAAGCUGAUCAGAUUCGUCUGCACGCCAUAUCGACGAUCCAGGCUCUGCUAAACAUAUAAACUCUUCAUCGGUGGCGUAUCUUGCCCUUUUGCUUUUAAACACUCCUGAUUAUUUUGGUCUAGCCGAUAGGACUGUUAUCGACACCUUUUUAAAACAUUAAAUUCGGCCCCAGAUACACUUUAAUCCAGCCGAUAGGAAUGUUAUCGGCACUUAAACUUACAUGCAUCAAGCCAUAUGCUAAGAUAAUAUUUCUUUAAGUAUUUGCCAUUCAAUGCCCUGGGAAACUCAACUCCUUCAAGAGUUUCUAAAAUAUAGGCAUUGCCAAGAGCAGAUCGGCUUACCCGAUAGGGACCCUCCCAAUUGGGAGACCAUUUCCCAAAUUUCAAACUUUUAGUCCAAUCGGUAAGACUAGUUUCCACACUAAGUCUCCAUCGGCAAACUCCUUAGUCUUUACUUUCUUAUCAUACCAUCUGGCAACUCUUUUCUUAUUUUCUUCUAUACUUAUCAAAGCUCUCAGCUGAUGCUCUGCCAAAUCAUCCAACUCGUCUUUCAUAAAAGUUGUAUAGUCAUCGGCAAUCAAUUGAUCUUGAAAAGAUAGUUGCCUAGAUCCAGCCUUAAUUUCCCAAGGUAGCACUGCAUCAUGUCCAUAUACCAACUGAUAAGGUGAAACUUUGCUCGAUCCAUGACAAGCCAUUCGAUAUGACCAUAAAGCUUCAUUUAACAAUGUAUGCCACCUCCUAGGAUUUUCUUCAAUCUUCCGUUUAAUAAGUUUGAUAAUCCCUUUGUUGGACGCCUCGGCCUGCCCAUUAGCUUGAGCAUAAUAAGGAGAAGAAUUCAAUACUUUAAUCCCCAUAAUGAUUGCAAAUUCAUCAAACUCGCCCGAUGUAAACAUAGUACUGUUGAUAUUUGGUAACGCAAUAAGGAAAUGAUCCGCAAGCGCACGGAUAUCGGUGAGCAUUUCACCCGGGAGACUAUCCAGAGUUAUCGUAUUUAUAUUUUUACCACUGGGAGAAAGGGUGCAUCUGACUAACCAAAACUAUUGCUACUAUCCCUUUAGGCACAAAGAAUGUCUCUCGAUGUGAGUGAUAAAUAGAGAAGACUGCAACCGUAGUCUCCUUCUAACCUUGGUAAGGAUGAUCUACUGUUCUAAUGGGGAGGCUAACGGAAUCUAGACAACACAAAGGAUGUUCGACCCGCACCUAUAAACCCUAUCCUUCCUGCUAACGAGAUGUGAUCUACAAAGGUAGCUCGGAAUUGUCACGUUCCUCACUACUACCAUGGUCCAGCUAGUCAGGGAAUAUCUAUGAGUACCCCAGCCUAAACACCACGUUUACGCCAGCAAUGAUUACUCUAAACUCUAUGCGAAGAGAUUAAAGUAAACUCAUAAACCAUAAGAACAAUAAAACAAGAACUUACUAGAAUUUAGAAGUCGAAUUACUGAAGAAUCCUAGGAGCAAACUUCGGGUUAGGAGAACUUGAUCCCGCAGGUACAAGCUUGGAGUAGACACCGACAGGCCUGGCUUCCUCCAAUCUACACCUCCACUCUAUCUCUCUCAAUCUAGUAGAAACUAGAAGAUCUAUUUCUACCUUACAUUGGUUGCUAAGCCUAAAAGAAAUAUUAAUUAGAGAAGAGGUUUUCCUUCGAGGGCACCCCUCAGUCUCUAUGAUAAUUUCUUCAUGUCUUCUCGAGGGGCCAGGAGGGUCUCCUUAUAUAGUCCUCCCCUUCUAUGCGUUUUUGGGUCGAUAGGCGAUGUGGUACUAUGUUAUUCUGGAUCCAAUAGGUCGGUGGAGAUCUCCCGAGAGAAAGAGUCCUGAUUGGGCUCGGCAGGUGGGCGGGCGCCCAGGUCCUGGCCCCGUUUCGCCUCCGCUUCGGUCUCGUGGCUUCUGGAGUCUUCUAGAUGGUAGAAAAUUGCGCGGUGCGUUGAUAUCUCUAUGUAAUCCUGACAUGUGGGCCUUUCUUCCUUAUUUCCUGAUAACCCCCUGCAGAAAUAGACAAACACCAAAACUCAUGGAAUUCUGUCAGAUAAAACCCUAAGUAUAGAUGUUGAUUUCAUUUAGAUCCUUUUCUUUGUUUAUUUGAUAAUUAAAUUUGAUACUUAAGGACCGUCAACAAACUCCCCCAAGCUUACCUCUUGCUCGUCCCUGAGCAAGGAUAGACUCAGCAAUGGAUUAGAAGUUGUUGCAAUAUCUUAAAGAUUUGACGGUACACAUGCUUUUAAUUAAGAUCUCAUCUCUGAGUUAGAGUAAACUGUCAAGAACUAAAACUUACUUACUUUACCUUUCACCAUGGGACUUGUAACUAUCACUUCUAUCUUGAGAGGUUAAAAGAUAGAACAGUCUAGCCAAGUGCCAUGUCUCUUAUUCUUGAUCAGCUAUAGCUCUGGGGUUUUUGCAGAUUUUCAAAUAAAACUCAGAGAUUCCUUGUAUGACUCUCUCAUAUCUCUCUUUUGUGGUAUUUCUGGAUCCUUACCAAGGCAGUGAUGGUCUAUGCCUUCUCUCAAGAUAUGUGGUAUUUGUGGUAUAAGGCAUAGUGACAUUGCCUUCUCUCUCACCCUACUCUAAUAAGGCUUGAUAUCUGGAGCUCAUAAGUGGGAGAUAAAGUAUACAUACUUAUAAGACAUUUAUUGUAUAGUCAAACCAUGGAUCCAAAGAAACAAAUCAAUAAGCCAAAUCAAGAUGUGCAUGUGUGGCGAAUGAAUGGUGUAUGGUGAUGAUGGUGAUAACAAUGGUGAAAGUCUAAUUCUACUUUUGCUCUUUUGAGGGGAUACAUACCUUCCUUGCUUUUUGAAACUUUAUGAGGAGAAUGAGAUGCUCUUCUUUUUACUUUCCUCUCAGGUGGGUAUCUUAUACCCCUAAUUCUACUGUCGGACACUUGUCCAUUUUUACCUCUCGUCUCACUUUUUCUUUCUUUCGAGGUUCCGGGCACUUGCACAUCUUGAUUUUUUUUCUUUCUUCUUUUUUUAGAGCACUCAUCUCUUGAGAUAAUAUAGCAAGUGGUAGUAACAAAAAUAUUUGGAGCAUUUAUUUCACAGAGGAUAACAGGGAUAGGAAAAUGUUUUUGACUAUUCUCUUCUGGAUUAGGAGUAGAAUAUUUUUGGGUGAUUCUGGAGAUGGAAAUGGAUGGAUAUAUGUGGAUGGUACUUCCGGAGUAGAAGUAGCAUAUAUGAGUGAACGUGCAAGUGAAUCUUGAUUUAACCACAUGACAAGCUCCUAAGGGUCUACAUAGCUUGACCACACUCAACGCUCAUAAGCAGUAAAUAGUAAAUGUGUGGCUCAAAGUCUAGCAAGCAUGUAUAUAUGGCUGUGGUAGGAAUUUAAACUCUCAUCAUACAUGAACUCAUCAUGCAACAUUUCAAAGAUUUUCAAAGAUAAAAUUCUCCAGAAUUCUAGCAUCUCUAGGAACAGAUAAACAGCAGCUCAACCUUCCCAUAUCGUAUCCGUUAACAACUUAGACUUCAGAUUUAAAUUAUAACAGUUAUGUCUAAACUUGAGAGAGAACUUCAAAAUUGCAAAUUAGGCAGAGCAACUAUUCAUCAUAUCCAUGCUAGAGUUUUAUUAUUAAGAUUC
rnacentral:lncRNA from 1 species